rnacentral:rRNA from 1 species
UAAGACGGAGGGUGCAAGCGUUAUUCGGAAUUACUGGGCGUAAAGGGCGCGUAGGCGGCUCCUUAAGUCAGGCGUGAAAGCCCGGGGCUCAACCCCGGAAGUGCGUUUGAAACUGAAGAGCUUGAGUACGGGAGAGGGAAGUGGAAUUCCUGGUGUAGAGGUGAAAUUCGUAGAUAUCAGGAGGAACACCGGUGGCGAAGGCGACUUCCUGGACCGAUACUGACGCUGAGGCGCGAAAGCGUGGGGAGCAAACAGGAUUAGAGACCCUGGUAGUCCACGCCGUAAACGAUGAACACUAGGUGUAGCGGGUAUUGACCCCUGCUGUGCCGUAGCUAACGCAUUAAGUGUUCCGCCUGGGGACUACGGUCGCAAGGCUA